UGGGGAAUCUUGCGCAAUGGGGGAAACCCUGACGCAGCGACGCCGCGUGAGUGAUGAAGGCCUUCGGGUUGUAAAGCUCUGUGGAGAGGGACGAAUAAGUCGGAGCGAAUAUCUCCGAUGAUGACGGUACCUUUUUAGCAAGCACCGGCUAACUCUGUGCCAGCAGCCGCGGUAAGACAGAGGGUGCAAACGUUGUUCGGAAUUACUGGGCGUAAAGCGCGUGUAGGCUGCUUGGAAAGUCGGAUGUGAAAGCCCUGGGCUCAACCUAGGAAGUGCAUUCGAAACUUCCAAGCUGGAGUUUCGGAGAGGAAGGCGGAAUUCUCGGUGUAGAGGUGAAAUUCGUAGAUAUCGAGAGGAACACCGGUGGCGAAGGCGGCCUUCUGGACGAUGACUGACGCUGAGACGCGAAAGCGUGGGGAGCAAACAGG
rnacentral:rRNA from 1 species